rnacentral:rRNA from 1 species
CGUAGGCAGCAAGCGUUGUUCGGAGUUACUGGGCGUAAAGGGUGUGUAGGCGGUUGUUUAAGUUUGGUGUGAAAUCUCCCGGCUCAACUGGGAGGGUGCGCCGAAUACUGAAUGACUAGAGUGCGGGAGAGGAAAGUGGAAUUCCUGGUGUAGCGGUGAAAUGCGUAGAUAUCAGGAGGAACACCGGUGGUGUAGACGGCUUUCUGGACCGUAACUGACGCUGAGACACGAAAGCGUGGGUAGCAAACAGGAUUAGAUACCCUGGUAGUCCACGCCCUAAACGGUGCAUAUUUGGUGUGGGCAGUUCAUUCUGUCCGUGCCGGAGCUAACGCGUUAAAUAUGCCGCCUGGGGAGUACAGUCGCAAGGCUG